GUGGGGAAUAUUGGACAAUGGGCGAAAGCCUGAUCCAGCCAUGCCGCGUGUGUGAAGAAGGUCUUCGGAUUGUAAAGCACUUUAAGUUGGGAGGAAGGGUAGUAACCUAAUACGUUGCUACUUUGACGUUACCGACAGAAUAAGCACCGGCUAACUUCGUGCCAGCAGCCGCGGUAAUACGAAGGGUGCAAGCGUUAAUCGUAAUUACUGGGCGUAAAGCGCGCGUAGGUGGUUCAGUAAGUUGGAAGUGAAAUCCCCGGGCUCAACCUGGGAACUGCUUUCAAAACUGCUGAGCUAGAGUACGGUAGAGGGUGGUGGAAUUUCCUGUGUAGCGGUGAAAUGCGUAGAUAUAGGAAGGAACACCAGUGGCGAAGGCGACCACCUGGACUGAUACUGACACUGAGGUGCGAAAGCGUGGGGAGCAAACAGGAUUAGAAACCCGAGUAGUCC
rnacentral:rRNA from 1 species